AGAAGUACACGUCCUCAUCUUCUUCGUAGACUUAGCCUCCACCUCCAUUCUUAUGUCUUCUUCACCUUCUCUCUUCAAUUAUAACCAUUAUACCAAGUUUCGUGUAAAACCGAGACCACAUUUGUGAUCGUUGUGAUCUUCUCUUUCAUUUCCAACUUGAAUUGCAAACUUAAACGCCCUAUUCCUCUUCGUCAAAAAUCAC
rnacentral:lncRNA from 1 species